rnacentral:rRNA from 1 species
AUUGAACGCUGGCGGCAUGCCUUACACAUGCAAGUCGAACGGUAACGGGUUAAGCCGACGAGUGGCGAACGGGUGAGUAAUAUAUCGGAACGUGCCCAGUCGUGGGGGAUAACGUAGAGAAAUUUACGCUAAUACCGCAUACGAUCCAAGGAUGAAAGCGGGGGACCUUCGGGCCUCGUGCGACUGGAGCGGCUGAUAUCAGAUUAGGUUGUUGGUGAGGUAAAAGCUCACCAAGCCGACGAUCUGUAGCUGGUUUGAGAGAACGACCAGCCACACUGGGACUGAGACACGGCCCAGACUCCUACGGGAGGCAGCAGUGGGGAAUUUUGGACAAUGGGCGAAAGCCUGAUCCAGCAAUGCCGCGUGCAGGAAGAAGGCCUUCGGGUUGUAAACUGCUUUUGUACGGAACGAAAAGGUCUGCCCUAAUACGGCGGGCUCAUGACGGUACCGUAAGAAUAAGCACCGGCUAACUACGUG